GUGGUGCAAACUGUUAACACAUUUGACUGCAAACCAAAAGGUUGGAGGUUCGAGUCCACCC
rnacentral:tRNA from 1 species